UUGACUCGAGGUUCAUAGUGCUAUUAUUUCGUCCCUGAUAAUAUACUGAAAAUGUGUAAUACGUAGUAUCCACAAGUGUUAUAGCAGUUGUGUGUGUCGUGAAAUAGUAUUUUAAAAUAACAUAAAAUGUGAAAUUUCUCUAAAAAUUUCCAAGAAUUUGUUUUUUAAACUUUUCUAUAAAAAUCCGAUAAAUCAAAUAAUGAGUUCAAUAAACUUCUAGCGGAACUCUGAUUUUUCGUCAUAUCCUAUUACUUAUCUUUAUAGUCAAUCGUCGUGUAUACAGAAAUUAGGGCGUGAAAAGGUUUUUUAUGGACCUAACAUUGAAGCAGUAAAAAAUGUCUAGAAAGCGUGCUAGAGAAGAAACUAUGUUGAAUUCUACAUCAUAUUCAAAUAUUCAAAAUGGAGAAGAUGCAUCUUGCUCCAGGGAAGAUUCACCUAUAUAUCCUCUAGUGACAAUGACUUGGAGAAGCAACAGGAAUUCACAUAAUGAAUCAGGUCAAAUUUCACUGAAAAAGUAUAAUAGUGAAAUUUCUAUUUACCACAAAGAACUUCCAUCAAUUUGCAAGGAAGCACCUUUUAGUGAUGAUCCAGAAGCACUUGCUGAAAGAAAUGCAUGUGAUUAUAACAUUCGCAUUACAUUAAAAAUGGCAAAAAGUGGUAAAGCUCCUAGAAAAAUCAGAGUCUAUGCAGAUGGUAUUUAUGAUCUAUUUCAUCAAGGACAUGCACGGCAACUUUUACAAGCAAAAAAUAUUUUUCCUAAUGUAUAUCUUAUUGUAGGAGUUUGUAAUGAUCAGUUAACACAUAGUAAAAAAGGAAGAACAGUUAUGACAGAUGUUGAAAGAUAUGAUGCAGUAAGACAUUGUCGUUACGUAGAUGAAGUGGUUAGAGAUGCACCUUGGGAACUGGAUGAUGAAUUUCUUAUAAAACAUAAAAUCGAUUUUGUUGCUCAUGAUGAUAUACCUUAUAUGACAGAUGAUAGCACAGAUGUUUAUGCUGCCUUAAAGGCUAAAGGUAUGUUCGUAGCUACACAAAGAACAGAAGGAGUAUCAACAUCCGAUAUUGUUGCAAGAAUAGUUAAAGAUUAUGAUAUUUAUGUAAGAAGAAAUCUUGCGCGAGGCUAUAGUGCAAAAGAACUUAAUGUUUCUUUUCUCAAUGAAAAAAAAUUUCGUUUACAAAAUAAAUUUGAUGAUUUAAAAGAUAAAGGUAAAAGAGUAAUGGAGAAUAUUGGUGAAAAACGUAUGGAUAUGAUUAGCAAAUGGGAAGAAAAAUCUCGAGAUUUUAUCGAUGCUUUUCUACUUUUAUUUGGAAGAGAAGGUAGAUUGUCAACAAUUUGGAAUGAAAGUAAAGGUCGUUUAAUGCAAGCAUUAUCUCCUCCUGCAAGUCCAAAAAGAGAUGGCAGUCCAAAUGGCAGUAAUAGCAGCAAUAAUGAUGAAGAUCAGACAAGGUACAUCACAGCAUUCGAGUCAAUUGACUAAUAUGCAACACCACUUCAUUCUGUACUGCUUCUAUAUGAAAACCUUCAAUACUUCACACCACCCAUUUGCAGCAUGUUAUUCCACCACCGAAAAAGACUGGCCGUUUUGAAUAUUCGCAGAGUAAUUAUUAUUUAAGCGAUGAUUAUAGCGACGAUGAAGAAGAAAAUUUGCACUCCAAAUGAUAACCUCUUUUUUCAAAAUCACAUUCAUUUUGACCAAAAAUAUCGUGCAAUCUCUUUAAAAAUGUUUAAAAAUAAUUUUAUGCAUCUAUGUGAUUUAUUAAUAUGGAUUGUAAUGUUAUGCUUAAUAAUUUUUUUCUGCUAUGAUUUCAUACUACAUACGAUAUAAAAUUAUUUGUUGUAAUAAUUUCAUUCAAUCCAAUCAUGCAUUAUUAUAUAUUAAUUAGAUUAUAUAUGUGCAUGAACAUUACAGAAGUCAUAUAGAUUACUUAAGUCGUUAUAACUAUUCUUGAGAGUUUCAUUAUCAUAUCGUUAUUUAUAUUAUUAAUAAGUUCCUAUAAUCUGGUUUUGAAUGAUAUUAUUGUUCAUUUUGAAUUUCAUACAAGAAUUUCUAAUAGUUAAACGCAUAUUUUCAUUUAUGCAA
rnacentral:misc_RNA from 1 species